rfam:Myotis lucifugus cont2.39162, whole genome shotgun sequence.
AAGGAUAAUUCUAUGGGAAAGUGAAUCAUGUAACGACCCAUCUUUCUUUCUCUUGGUAUUGGCCGCCAGAAAGUUUAGAGUAAGAAAAUGGGCUUUCAACCGCAGGUUCAGACAUUUGGUGUAUGUGCUUGGCUGAGGAGCCAAUGGGGCGAAGCUACCAUCUGUGGGAUUAUGACUGAACGCCUCUAAGUCAGAAUCCCGCCCAGGCGGAACCAUACGGCAGCGCCGCGGGAGCCUUGGUUGGCCUCGGAUAGCCGGUCCCCCGUCAUCCCCGCCGGCGGGCCGGCCGGUGCGCCCCCGCCGCACGUCGGGACCGGGGUCGGUGCGGAGAGCCCUUCGUCCUGGGAAACGGGGUGCGGCCGGAAAGAGGGCCACCCCCACGCCCUUCACGCAAUGCAUGUUCGUGGGGAACCUGGCACUAAACCAUUCGUAGACGACCUGCUUCUGGGUCGGGGUUUCGUACGUAGCAGAGCAGCUCCCUCGCUGCGAUCUAUUGAAAGUCAGCCCUCGACACAGGGUUU